GCCAGAGAUAGUAAAGCCAAAAGACUACAAGCUGAUUAUUGGACUCCCUGUAGGAGGGGCAUGUCUAAUACUUGUCGUCAUUCUUACUGGUAUCUUAAUCAGGAAACGACUACAAUCCAAACAAUUACCUUCGGAGCAAACAGACGCAAGACUGAAUGCAGGCAAUAGACAGAAAAUGUACUCAGCAGAAAUGAAAACUAGAUACAUGGAACAAGAAACAAAUCUCGAAAAUCAACCACAUGUUUAUAAAGUAUGGUCACAAGAUAGAUCGGUGAGAAAGUUUAUAACUGCAUUCGAUUUGAAAGACUUGAAACAAAAAGGCAGUAAAGUUUUUGAAUUAACACAUGUGUAUAUAGUUCUAGAGGAGGAUGGGACAGAAAUAGACGAUAAUACAGCGUUAGAGGCAUGUAAAGACAAAACAUUACAGGUCCUAUCGAAACAUCAGUCAUGGACUAGAAACUCUUCCUCCUCAAACGGCAGUGAAGUUGUGCUAAAUUUAAGAGGUGGUGACACUCCAAGUACUUGUGGGACCAUUCGAAGCCUCCGUUUAUAAUUUAUCAGCCUGAAACUGUGCGUUAUUGUGACAAAAAAAUAAACAGAGUAGCUAAUAACGAUACAUGUACAUAAUGACUGUCUCUUUCUUAAAUACAUGUAUGCAACCAUUUUAAAAUGUAACACGGAGUAAUAAGAUACCGACGGUUUCUGUAUUUCGAUCCAUAAUUAUUUUGUUCAACUAAAAGACAAGCCUGUUACCCGAAGUUAGAGACUGGGGAUUAUGGUGUAGGUUUAAUUCUUUAAACUAUUUUUUUUAAAACAAAUUACCUAAAUUAACAAUUAAAUGGAACCAGGUGGUCGAUUUGAUAGUCCCAUAACAAUUUCUUUUAAGCUCGGUCCCAUUACUUGCCUUAAAGCCUGUCUCAAUAGUUCCAUAUUUUGCCUUGAAGCCUGACUCAUUAGUGCCAUAUUUCGCCCUGAAGCCUGUCUCAAUAGUGCCAUAUUUCGCCCUGAAGCCUGGCUCAAUAUUGCCAUAUUUCUCUCUGAAGCCUGGCUUAAUGGUAUCAUUUUUUGCAUUGGAGUCUGACUCUAUAGUGCCAUAUUUCGCACUGAAACAUGGCUCCAUAGUGCCAUAUUUCUCCCUGAAGCCUGACUCAAUAGUGCCAUAUUUCGCCCUGAAGCCUGUCUCAAUAGUGCCAUAUUUCUCCCUGAAGCCUGGCUCAUUAGUGACAUAUUUCGUCCUGAAGCCUGACUCAAUAUUGCCAUAUUUCUCCCUGAAGCCUUGCUCAUUAGUGCCAUAUUUCGCCCUGAAGCCUGGCUCAAUAGUGACAUUUCUCGCCCAUACGGUCAAUGAGUCAAUGAUAUCAAAACUGUUGUCCCGAACCUUGAUUUUAUAGUCCUAUAUCUAUUGCAAUAAUUUUUGUCCUGAAGCUCGAUUCAAUAGUCUCAUAACUGUAACCUCAAGCUAAACUCAGUAGUCUAAUAAACUUCUGAAGAUCAGUCCAAUAGUCCCAUAGCAUACCCUGUGGCAGUCACACGUUUAGAAAUGCCACCUUCGUUCACUAUGUUAUGUUAUAAAUAAAAUUAUAUAAGGAGGUACAAUAAAUGUCAUUUAUUCCCAGAACCCCAAAAAAGGUCAUUACCCAACAAAUAUGUGUGUAUAAAAAAUGUUAUAGCAGUGUAUACUUUUGUAAAUAUCGGUAUUUCAAGGUCGUUUUAGUUGGUUUGAAAUAUUUAGCGGUCUUUUAGACAGUUUUGUGUACAAUAUCAAUUUUGAGCUGUAUGAAGUCAGUGUUUUUAUUUUAUACUAUAUCAAGUAGUUGAUAAUGUAUAUUAUCUUACCUCCUAUACAUUUCUAGGAAUAUGAUUGGUUAAAAGCGUCCGCGUGGAGACCGUGUAUAUUCUAUAUUAGGUUAGAAGGGAGGCGGGGCUUGUUUCAUACACGCGGUUAGUAGUGGUGUUACGUCCCUUUAUAAAAACAAAACGGUACUGAGAAAAAAUCUUAAAGGUUUCAACAGACGAAGAAAUUGAUGAUGAAGAUUGAAAUAAAAAUUAUAAAACACAUUUAAACCUAACAAGUUGUUAUUGUUGGCAUCUGUUUUUGUAGGAUCAAUGGAAGUAGUUUCUUAAUGCUAACGGUAUUGAAGACUUGCUCAUUUUGAUAGAUCACUAGUUUAAAUUUCACACGUUAAGAUAGUCGGUAAGAUAAAUUCGUUACAUAGUGUGCUAGUGACGUAAUACGGUUUCUCUAAUUCUUCGUCAAUUUAUCCCUUUCUGCACCCAUUGUAUAAAAAAAUUUAAUCAACUUGUGGUUCGUUUGAUCUCAGUUCUUCAUUGGUUAAAAUCCGAUUAUGACGUCGAAUUUUCUUGCUUUCCUCUGAAUUUCCUAUUGUGACGGCAUGAAAAAAGGCGACCAUGCCUGAUGACGUCACAUAGAAAAAACACUUUUUGCAGAUCAUUCGAAAAGAAGGAAUAAAUUUGCCUGCGUAUUGAUUGAAAAUCAUUAGAGAAACAUAUUCAACCACCAAAUCUCGUGUAAUACGAUAUUUAUCCACUCUCGACAGUUAAAUUUUAAAUAUUUAAAACGCUCGGCGAGCCUCGCGUUUUAAGUUUGAAAAUUUAACUGUCUCGAGUGGAUAAAUAUCGUAUCACACUCGAUGCAGUGGUACAAUCUAUAUAUAUAUAUGGGGUCAGUAAAUUUCAUAUUGGGAUUCGAGCUUCGCGCUCACCCCAUAUGGAAUUUACUGACCCCAUAUUUACCGUAUUAGGUCACUUGCACACUAUGUAACUAAUAAUGGCUUGCUUUUAUUGGAUAUACGUAGAUUGUAAGAACCUAGCCAAAUGGAGUGCCUGACAGGCAUGUGUAAGGGGAGUUAACCUGUAUAUUGUUUGUUUUUUGUAAUAUGUAGAUUAAUUUAUAUUUUAAAAUAAUUAUAUAUCAGCUGGUCUGAAUAUAAGUACUGUUAUUACAUUAUAAUUUAUGCAAAAAAUUUAUUGUGUAAAUAUCUCAUAAUUUUAUGUACUUUUUAUUUUUGAAUAUAUAUAAAAUUAGGAAAAUAUCUUGAACCUUUUCUAUUUAUAUAUAUGAGACUGUGAGUUGAUGGGAGAUAUUUGACAGCUUCCUUUUAAUUCAUUCACAACUGGUUUUUACAUUAUACUGUUGUGCUGUUACAUCAUUAUCCAAGGUUAUAUGAGGGUUUAGCACAUACCUGCCAAACUUUAGCACCCCGACAUUUUUUAAGCCCACCACAUUCUUUAUGUUCUUUUCCAAAGCCAUCAGACUGUACUCCAUUGGUGGAUGUUGCUGGCACUCUAUUGUAAUUGUUUUCCAUUCAGUGUUGUCUUUCUAAAUCAGGACCUUAAGAAGUUAAGAUUCACUUUUGAAUUGUGCCAUAUUUUGUCAACCUGGCACCUUUUAUAAUUCCAUUGUGACAUUUACUUAUUAACAACCAUUGUCUUUUAAUCUUUGUUUGUUAAAUGUCACAUUGGAAACCUUUCCACAGGUCCUUAUUUUUAUAAUACUCGACACGAUAAAUUAGGUGACUAAAUUUCUGUUUUAUACUUAUUUGUAAGUGUACAAACUAUAGAGGCCCCAAAGAGCUUGUGUCGCUCACCUGGGUCUUGCAACAAUGGUCACUUUUUGGUAAAAAUCUUCAGGAAAGGGAAAUAACCCAAAGAGUUAACUAACGAUUU